GGAGGCAGCAGUGGGGAAUAUUGGACAAUGGGCGCAAGCCUGAUCCAGCCAUGCCGCGUGAAGGAUGACGGCCCUCUGGGUUGUAAACUUCUUUUAUACGGGAAUAAACCCCUGGUUUCUACCGGGGCUGAAUGUACCGUAAGAAUAAGGAUCGGCUAACUUCGUGCCAGCAGCCGCGGUAAUACGAAGGAUCCGAGCGUUAUCCGGAUUUAUUGGGUUUAAAGGGUGCGUAGGCGGACUAUUAAGUCAGUGGUGAAAGCCUGCAGCUUAACUGCAGAACUGCCAUUGAUACUGAUGGUCUUGAGUACAUUUGAGGCGGGCGGAAUGUGUCAUGUAGUGGUGAAAUACUUAGAUAUGACACAGAACUCCGAUUGCGAAGGCAGCUCACUAAACUGUAACUGACGCUGAGGCACGAAAGCGUGGGGAUCAAACAGGAUUAGAUACCCUGGUAGUCCACGCCCUAAACGAUGAUUACUCGGUGUGUGCGAUACACUGUACGCGUCUGAGCGAAAGCAUUAAGUAAUCCACCUGGGGAGUACGGCCGCAAGGCUGAAACUCAAAGGAAUUGACGG
rnacentral:rRNA from 1 species